CCGCGCAUGCGCAGUUAGCAUCAGAGCGGCAUUUCGGGGAAAUAUCUGUUCGCUCGACAUUUUGAGCGCAGCUGUGUCUGCUGCACGAUUCGGAGUGACUUCUAAACCAAAGCUAACUCUAAGUCGGUGUGGAGUGUGCCAAUAUGAUUCCAGGAAGGGAAAUCUUGAUUCCCGCAGCAGCAGCAGUGGGGACUGUUGUAGUUGCACCGCUGGCGGCGUCAGCUGUAGGCUUUGGAACUGUCGGCAUCGCCGCUGGCUCUCUGGCUGCCAAAUCGAUGUCACUAGCCGCGACAUACGGGUAUGGCAUGACCGUUGUCUCAGCUCUUCAGUCGGUGGGAGCAGUAGGACUUUCCACUACACAGGUGUUGGCUGUAGGAGGCACUGUGGCCGCCGGGGUGCGUAAGCUACUCACGUGGCGCUGAGCGAAAAAGAGAAAGCAGGAGAAGACAAGGCAGCGAAAGAGGAUCCGAUUUUGAUGACAUGUCAGCUCUUUCUUUCUAGAUUAUCAUCCUACAAUAAAUUGUAGAAACAACACUAAUAUUAAAAAAACAAACUGUCUACUUUCGUCAAACUACGUCGCAGGCAUACUUUCUGUGUCUUGUUAGAUGAUCAUGUGUCUUGCCAGAUAACUUUCUUUAUCUUGCUUUUUUUUUUGUCUUAUUUAUUUCGUCUAGUAAAAAUGCAAACAUUGUAAAGCAUAUAAAUCUUCAUUUUUUAAAGAUUCAGCAUAAACAUUAUGUUUGAAAUCUUCCCUCUCGUCAAAAAUACCCUUCCCCCCGACUUUCUGUUACUUGUCUCAUCAAGAGUGCAUAUAGUAUGAAGAUUGUAGAAGAUGCGUAGGCUGUUUAUUCAUUGCCUUUGUUAUCGUUUUCCCUGAUGAUUUACAACAUUUACAGGGUGUACAUUCAUACCCUUUGUAAUUUUUACUGUCUUCGUCGUUUCUCGAUGUUGUAGAUGAUGCCUCUAACAUAACGCUGACCUUGUGUUGUCGAUGAUAAAUAAAAACACCUUCUUCUGCGAUUUGUCUUAUUUUUAUGGUUGAAAAUAUGGACAGACCAAUCAACUGUAGUUAAUCCAAGAAGUGUACUGUAACAAUUACAGCAUAAACUAUACAAUACAACUUUAUUAAUCCACAGUCUUUGACCUUCUUGCCCCAUAUACAACUGAACCAGCCUCGUUUCGUAUGCAUUUCAACUCUGUAGUUACAGAAUUCAUUCUAUAAGUAUACGAUUGUAUAGCUAGAAUGCAUUGUGUAGCUGCAGGAUGGAAUUGUAUCUAUAAAUGAAUUGGAUAGCAGAUUCUGAGUAUUAUAUAAAUGAAUUUGUUUUGUUUUGUUAUUACCGAGUUUUUCUCUCUAUAGCUAUAGAAUGAAUUCAGUUACAGAAUGCUUGUUAUUACAUAAUGAAUUGUAUAGCUAUAGAAUACAUUCUAUAUUUACCUGGUGCAAGGCAGAGCAACAGGGCCGAGGUCCUGAUGUCAGGUCGUUCUACUAAUAUAUGUGUAAGAUGAUUUGUAAUACUCAAUUUUUCUUUUGUUAUUAAUAAUUAAUUUUAUAUGUUGUACAACUGUGUUGUCGGUUGUUGCGCACACGAGUGGGAGGAAAACCAGUAGUUGUGAGUGGUGUACAAGGUGCGAACGUGGGUGAGUGGAGGUGAGAGGGUGGAAGGAGGUGUGAAGCGGGCCAACAAAAGUGUCCCCCUCCCCCUCGGGCUAGAUAGUCAUCUCUUCUCCUUGUAGUUUCGUCACAAAUUGUAUAGAUAUAGAAUGUGUUAGUACAUAUAUAAUGAAUUGUAUAGCUAAAGAAUGAAUUAUAUAAGAAUAAAAUGCAUUCUAUAGGUAGAGGGCGAAAAUUAGAUAAAAUUACCAAUGCGUCCCAUACGUGGGUGGGUGGAUAGAGACGAAUAGGCUGAAAACCAAGCAAAGAUAAAGUACAAAGCUCAGACUACAAUGUACUUCGUAUCUGAAGGCUUUCGUCACUAUAGCAACGUCAGUUAUCAGUGGAUGGCUCCUCCCUACCAUUGAUCGUAACGGCCUCUUUUCCCACUGACAGCAUGAGGCAGGCUCUCUGCUUUAUCAUUAAAUCAUUACAAUGUAUAUAUAUGGAAAAAUGAAGUCAAUAUUCGUGGAAGCUGUGUCGUUGUAGCGAGACCGACCCACCGACCUACAAUCGACGACUAAGCGAGGUCUGCGCAUGUGCUGAGGGUCACGUGACUUUUAUCGCGAGUCGUUCACGAAGUUGAGCGCUAAUCUCAAGAAAGACUCGGGUGUAUAACUAAGGAGGUCAGUCUUCAGCACAUCGUCAGCACAUCAUUGAAAGGAGGGAAUCACCAUGAAAAAGACCAACGUCCAAAGGAAGUCAGGUGACACUGAUGCUGAGAAAGAACAGGCUGCAGCAAAAGUUCAGAAAGAAGACGCAGACAGAAGCCCGACGAAGCCUUGGGUGUCGGGAACCAUGACAAAGGUGACUGAGGUCGCAUAUCCGGUGGCAGUAGGAGUGGGGGCUAAGGUAGCGACUCAGGCGGUGAUUGGUGCCCUUGGCUUUGGAACAACAGGCAUCGCCGCUGGGUCUCUGGCUGCCAAAGCGAUGUCACUAGCCGCGACAUCCGGGCAUGGCAUGUCCGUUGUCUCAGCUCUUCAGUCGGUGGGAGCAGCAGGACUUUCCACUACACAGGUGUUGGCUGUAGGAGGCGCAUUGGCCGCCGGGAUGUAUAAGCUACCCUGCAUUCAGCAACUUCGGCGCUCACCACGGAAGCCCCCGGAUGUUCAGUCACGCCUGUGAGACUGUGAAACCCUUCGCUCACCGUGGACGCUUGUUAAAAUGGCUGCAGAAUGGGAAGUAGAGAAUGUAAUUUUGUUGAUGGACAUAUUUGACAGCGCCAAACGAUAAACUUCUAGUGGCAUUCAUUUGUGAACUAAAGAGGAAAAAGUCCAUGAUAAUUAAAGAUUUUUGGAAAGAACAAUGCGGUAGUCUCCUAUUUUCUGUAUGACCAUGAGAAAAUUUGAGGAAUAGAAAAACAAAAUAAAAAUCAACGUCUGCCUGUCGCCUAGGAAAGUCUAUUUAACCAAUAAACAUGGAUUCAUUUAGAAAAGGUCUGUGACGAUAUUGCGAUAGGUUAUUAUCUGUGAAAACACGAGGUGCCUAACACACGUUAAAUAGUUUAUUUCCAAUUUUCCAGGUUUUUUUUGGGUUUUUUUUGGUGUCAUUCUCGUUAUUUUUUACUAUGUAUCUUUUUUGUCAUUUGAAUGUCUUCCUUCUUCAUAUUUUUAUUUUCUGUUGUUUGUAGGUCAGUUUGGAAGACUUUUUUUUAAAUUUCUGACAAACUUUAGUUAGUUAUAACCAUCAUUAAAAAAAUGCAUGCAAAGAAUGGCAUUCGAGUAGCAUGUCACAUAAAAGUAGGGACUCUGUAAUCAGUCGCAACAUGCUCUAUAAAUGAAGAUUGUUGGUGGCAAUGCUCUUAAAGGUUGUGGCGCUGAGCGAGAAAGAGAAGGCAGUAGAAGACAAGGCAGAGAAAGAGAGAUCCGCUUAAAACAGAUUUUGAUGACAUGUCAGAUCCUCAAACUAAAGAAAAGUUGUUUGUUAGUUAUAAAUACUGUGAUAAAUACUCAACAGUAAAUUUGUGGAUGGGUCAGUUAGAACUUUCCUAAUUAGGGUGCAAUAUUCUGAAAUAUACAUUUGUAGAAACAAACUAACGAUAAUUCAUAUGGUAUUUUCAGUAGUAUGAGGACAAACUAAGUCAUUCUACAUGACUUUUAACAUGUUUUAGAGGUUCACUCCUACAUUUUUUGGAGACUUACAAUGCGAAAAAGAGUAUCCAAUGGUCUCGUUUGGAGAUGUGACCAACUUACAUAUAAAAAAAAAAUGCCAUAAAUUCACUUAUAGAGUGCAUUCUAUUAUAUAAUGAAUUGUAGAGCUAUGUAAUGCAUUCUAUAAUUACCUGGUGCAAGGACAACAGGGCGAAGUGUUCGCCUGACACGGGACUGGGAGCCACGAAGUCUGAGUUAAUCGUGCUUUUGUUAUAUUCAAAUCCCACUGUCCUGAUGUCAGGUCGUUCUACUAAUAUGUGUAAGACGAUUUGUAAUGCUCAGUUGUUGUUUUUUUUAUUAAUAAUAAAUUAUAUAUGUUGUACAACUGUGUUGAGGUUGUUGCGCACACGAGUGGGAGGAAACCAGUAGUUGUGAGUGGCGUGCAAGGUGCGAACGUGGGUGAGUGGAGGUGAGAAGGUGGAAGGAGGUGUGAAGCGGGGCAACAAAAGUGUCCCCCUCCCCCUCGGGCUAGAUAGUCAUCUCUUCUUGUAGUUUCGUCACAAAUUGUUUAGAUAUAGAAUGCGUUAGUACGUAUAUAAUGAAUUGUAUAGCUAUAGAAUGAAUUCUAUAAGAAUAAAAUUCAUUUUAUAGGUAGAGGGAGACAAUUAGAUAAAAUUACCAACGCGCCCCAUACGUGGGUGGGUGGAUAGAGACGAAUAGGCGGAAAACCAAUCAAAGAUAAAAUACAAAGCUCUAUAAGUCAGACUACUUUGUAUCUGAAGGCUUUCGUGACUAUAGCAACGUCUGUUAUCAGUGGAUGGCUCCUCCCUACCAUUGAUCGUAACUGCCUCUUUUCCCACUGACAGCAUGAGGCAGGCUCUCUGCUUUAUCAUUUAAUCAUUACAAUGUAUAUAUAUGGAAAAAUGAAGUCAAUAUUCCUGGAAGCUGUGUCGUUGUAGCGAGACCGACCCACCGACCUACAAUCGACGACUAAGCAAGGUCUGCGUAUGUGCUGAGGGUCACGUGACUUUUAUCGAGAGUCGUUCACGAAGUUGAGCGCUAAUCUCUAGAAAGACUCGGGUGUAUAACUAAGGAGAAGCCAGUCUUCAGAACAUCGUCAGCACAUCCUUGAAAGGAGGGAAUCACCAUGGAAAUGGCCAACAGCCGAAGGGACUCAGGUGACACUGAUUCUGAGAGAGUGCAGGCUGCGACAAUAAUUCAGAAAUGUUACCAACGCUUCAGGGUGUCGGGAACCACCAUGACAAGGGCGAUUAGGGCCGCAGUUCCGGUUGCAGUAGGAGUGGGGGCUGUGGUAGCGACUCCGGUGGUGAUCGGAGGACUUGGCUUUAAAGCAGCAGGCAUCGCUGCUGGGUCUGUGGCAGCCAAAGGAAUGUCACUCGCCGCCACAAGCGGGGUUGGAAUGUCGGUCAUCUCAACCUGUCAGUCCAUUGGAGCUCUGGCAGCGCUUAGCGUAUCACAAGCGGUUGCUGUGGGUGGUACGACGACUGCUGCAACCGCUGGUAUCGGCAAAUUUGUCGGGUGGCUGCGGAAGAAGCAGAAGAUUCCAGAAGCCGACAGAAGCACGAAAAAAAGGCGGCGGUUUUCUGUCUCCUUUUGCUGAUGUCUCCAGUGGCAGCGAGGGAAAAAGAAGACAGUGGGUUCCUGGAUGUACAGCUGGCCAGACACCAGCUUGGUCACAGACUCCUUCGUGUGGAAGAUCGGUUUUCCCGUAACAGUGGGAGCGGUAGUUGUCGUAGCAGCUCCUGCAGUUGUCGCCGCAGCUGGCUUCGGUGCUGGCCGCAUCGCUGCUGGGUCUCUGGCUGCCAAAGGAAUGUCGCUAGCGGCUACAUCCGGGUACGGCAUGUGGGUGAUUUCCGGUCUUCAGUCCAUCGGAGCUGCAGGGCUGACGACCUUCCAGCUCUUCACUGUGGGGGGCGCUGUGGCCACAGGUGUUGGUGUUGGUGUAGGCAUCAGCAGCAGCGACAGCAGUAGCACCAGCUGCGGCAUCGACGACAAGAAAAAGACGCCGUGAAGUCCAUAAGCCAUGAUGAGGGUGAUGGGUUGGUGGGUAGCGGAUGAUUACACUGAUAAUCACAAAACUUUCAUGCUGAGUUUGAUCUCUGUUCGAUAAUAUAUGAUGUAAGAAAUUAGCGCACCUUUUAAAUUAUUUGUCCAGGUUACUUCUUUUUGACAAUCGUAAUCGUUAUUAUCUGAUGCUUAUGAUUGUGUGUAUUCUGUCUCACCCUCGGACAUCAGGGGGUGUACUCCGGCUAAAGGGAAGGAAUCCAAUAAGAUGGACAAAAUCAAUCUGAACGUAGCUGUCUCCCUUUAAUUUCUUACACGGUGUACGCGAGGGGAAAAGCCCCACAACUAAAAAAAAAAAAACAAACAAAAAAAACCAAA